CAAUUUACAGCAGGGAAACUGAGGUUCGGGUGUAAAAAUGUGCUGGGACCUGUAAGUUAGAGCACUGGAGGGAGCUUAAAUCAGGCCCUUGGACUAAAGUCUCGAGCCUUUCACCAAGGCAGUUGCACUGGGUACUUCAGAGGAGCCCGUAGUGUACAAAUUUCAACAAUGGCUGUCUGAUACAUGAAUGAAUGAAUUUGCUCCUCAAACAAGGGAAUGAGUGUCUGCCAUGGGUGAGGCACGGUUUGGGCUCCCGGGAUGUAGCUGUGAGCAGGGCAGGUGGAGUCCUUGCCCAGUGGGUUUACAUUCUGGAGAAGACAGUAGUAAAGAAGGGGAAAGCAGGAUCAUUUCAAAUCGUGUGAUGCUGUGGAGACAGAGUGUGCAGUGAGUGGGACUGAGAUCAGAUCUGGAAGUUUAUUGUAAUCUAUCAUCUCACAAUUCUAUAGAUGGGGUCCAGAUUCUGGCAACAGAGUGUUUGGGGCAGGUGGUGAAAUCUGCCUUUCUCCAAAGACGCCCUUGACCUCCAGAACGAAUGAGCCUUGCCAUGCAUCCAAGGGCUAGAUCUGUUCAUUUGGACCGGGUCACUGAUUGAACCAGGAGACUCAGAGUACGUGAUAAAAUUGGUCUUGUGCUUUUUUUUCACACUCAAAAAUUGAACAGAAAUGUGGAAGCCACCUACCUGGUCACCACAGAAAGCCAGUAAGCUGGUGUCUGAAGAAGUUACCCAAGUUUCAGGCCCUGAUUAAUUUUAUUGCUAUUUAUAUUAGAGUACGGUUACCCUAGCAACUGCUAGUGGGUGACUGUGGUGCCUGCUUCUGCAGCCUCAGCUCUGAGAGCCCGCACAGCAGGUGUCAGAAGGGCAGGCAAAGCACAACCCUCCUAAGAGCCCAGAGCAGAAGAGCGUGGGGCCCCUUGCAGACCUGUGGUCCAGAUGGUGGGCAGUAUCCCACAACCCUCCUCCAGCUCAGCAAGCUCCUUGGUGGCUCAGCUGUCUGUCACUGUGUUUCUCCCCCGACCCUUCUCCCUCCCCACCCUGCUCACCCAUCUCCCUCUGACACUGCUGGUCCUGCCUUUGCACCCACUCCUCACUGUCGCGACUCUCCCAGCCCUGUGCCAGGUCAGGGCCUCCUCUCUGUGGUCACUGACUGUCAGCCACCAACCCCCCUCACUGGACCCCAGGCUCCUUAGAAGCAGGGCUGUGUGUCUCUGGGUCACUGCCUGCUGAUCCCCAGCCACUUCUGUUUCUUUUAAUCACCUUUUUAAAUGCCACUAUUACAUACAGUAUUUGAUAUGCCUUAGUUUCAACAUUUCCUAGAUUUAAUUAGACUUAACUCUUGAGAAAAUAUAUCUGUUUUUCCAGUGACUUCCAUUGUAGCUGGAAAACUGAUUCCACCUAAAAAGCUGACAGGAGGAAAACUUUGAGGAGAUAAUUAACUUAGAAGUCAGGCCUCAUAUACGGGGGGAGUGAGGAACCCAAAACCACUGUCAGACCUCAGCGUUGACUUCUCUCCCAUUACCCUUCUCAUUCAGCUUUAUCCUCUCUUCCCUCCUUUAGACCUUCAGACUGCAGCAAUGUUCCCAGUGCAAAAAAAUACACACACUGCCAUUAUAAUAAUACUAAGACAUUUUCUCUUUUCUGACUAUAUUUACAUCUGUCACAUUAGUGGAAACUUCAGUAACACAUGUUCAAAAUAUUAACCCUGAUGCCAAAACCUGACAAAGACAUUACAAGAAAAAUAUUAUAAACCAUACCUUACAUGAAUAUAGAUGC
rnacentral:lncRNA from 1 species